rnacentral:rRNA from 1 species
CCUACGGGAGGCAGCAGUGAGGAAUAUUGGUCAAUGGGCGGGAGCCUGAACCAGCCAAGCCGCGUGAGGGAAGAAGGUACAGCGUAUCGUAAACCUCUUGUGUCAGGGAACAAAGGCGGGGACUAGUCCCCGGAUGCGGGUACCUGAAGAAAAAGCAUCGGCUACCUCAGUGCCAGCAGCCGCGGGAAUACGGAGGAUGCGAGUGUUAUCCGGUUUUAUUGGGUUUAAAGGGUGCGGAGGCGGCCUGUUAAGUCAGCGGGAAAAGCCCGGGGCUCAACCCCGGCAAGCCGUUGAAACUGGCGGGCUGGAGUUGGAGAGAAGUACGCGGAAUGCGCGGUGUAGCGGUGAAAUGCUUAGAUAUCGCGCAGAACCCCGAUUGCGAAGGCAGCGUACCGGCUCCACACUGACGCUGAGGCACGAAAGCGUGGGUAUCGAACAGGAUUAGAUACCCUGGUAGUC